GAUUCUCCCCAGAUGCGGGCGCUUCGCUGUCGCCGUGGCAACGGGCGCCGUCACCACAACUUCCGGCUCCACUCUGCGCGCGCACGUAAUGCACGUCACCGUCCGCGUCACCUGUGAAAAGUACACACUCAAUCCAAUGGAUCAAUGCGAAUGUGUAUAUGUAUGUAAAGACCAAAAACAUAAGAUUUACAUGAAUAUAAUGUUACCCGCUCUUAUUUUGAUAACCCCUUUGUGAGCGGAAGUACGGUAACGGAACUGAGCUUGAGGUAGGACAGAAGACGCGAGGUAAAGCAGGAGAGGCUCAGUGGGAACGCAGAGAAAAGGACAACCGAAAAAGUUGAAAGCAAUAAAUCUAGCAUCAGUUGAUAAGGGAACAAGAUCAAGUUUGACUGCAUUUGCAGACAUCUGUCACGGCUGCCGUUCCACCACCAAGGCCCCAGGGGGCGUACAACCCAGACUCGCCAAGUAUAAAAGGACUGCACACACCCGAAGACACUGUGAACUCAUCAUCGAAUCUUCUUACGUUGCUCAUCCAAGACGGCGUGCAGCAUCCGAACGUUCAUGCGAUGUCUCCACAGCAACGCAUGACACGCCCCCGACGAACUGUGGGCUCACACCGGACACCUUCUGUUAACAUCAAUAUCUCGAUUUGAUGUGUACACUUCACAGCUGGUGCAUUAGAUCUGCUGAAAAAGUUCUUUGACAAAACUGAUGAUAUAAAAAAUAACUUGAUCCACGCUGUGGUGUCCAGAGGACGGAUUAAUAAAUAUAGUUAAUUUUAAAAAUAGCUAUUUUGA
rnacentral:lncRNA from 1 species